AAUCAGAUUCAGAGCCUGAACAUAACCAGCUCCACAGAAGACCCCUUGUGCUUCCAGUGAAUAAUCAUUAUUCCGCCUUCUAACAGGUGCUUCUGAGAUUCCUGAAGAAUCCGAUUCCUGAAGAACCUGAAGUUGAUGAUGAAGAGUUUGGUUGGGAAAUUGAGCAGACACCCUAUGAAGAGGUAUCAGAAAGUGCUUUGAAUCUGCAGUGCCACUAUGGAUUUGGAAACUUACGAUUAGGAGUAUUUUGGCGGUUACAGGUUCCACUUUGGGGGAACUUAUACAUGGCACCGUUCCUAUAAAAUGAGGAAAAUAGCUUUGAAGAUGAUGAUCUACUUCCAUCAUGAACAUUCUACCAAGCG